GGUGCUUGCAUCAUGAAUUACAUUUGAGUGAGUGGCGAACUGGUGAGUAACACGUGGGAAACCUGCCCAGAAGCGGGGGAUAACACCUGGAAACAGAUGCUAAUACCGCAUAACAACUUGGACCGCAUGGUCCGAGUUUGAAAGAUGGCUUCGGCUAUCACUUUUGGAUGGUCCCGCGGCGUAUUAGCUAGAUGGUGAGGUAACGGCUCACCAUGGCAAUGAUACGUAGCCGACCUGAGAGGGUAAUCGGCCACAUUGGGACUGAGACACGGCCCAAACUCCUACGGGAGGCAGCAGUAGGGAAUCUUCCACAAUGGACGAAAGUCUGAUGGAGCAACGCCGCGUGAGUGAAGAAGGGUUUCGGCUCGUAAAACUCUGUUGUUAAAGAAGAACAUAUCUGAGAGUAACUGUUCAGGUAUUGACGGUAUUUAACCAGAAAGCCACGGCUAACUACGUGCCAGCAGCCGCGGUAAUACGUAGGUGGCAAGCGUUGUCCGGAUUUAUUGGGCGUAAAGCGAGCGCAGGCGGUUUUUUAAGUCUGAUGUGAAAGCCUUCGGCUCAACCGAAGAAGUGCAUCGGAAACUGGGAAACUUGAGUGCAGAAGAGGACAGUGGAACUCCAUGUGUAGCGGUGAAAUGCGUAGAUAUAUGGAAGAACACCAGUGGCGAAGGCGGCUGUCUGGUCUGUAACUGACGCUGAGGCUCGAAAGUAUGGGUAGCAAACAGGAUUAGAUACCCUGGUAGUCCAUACCGUAAACGAUGAAUGCUAAGUGUUGGAGGGUUUCCGCCCUUCAGUGCUGCAGCUAACGCAUUAAGCAUUCCGCCUGGGGAGUACGGCCGCAAGGCUGAAACUCAAAGGAAUUGACGGGGCCCGCACAAGCGGUGGAGCAUGUUGGUUUAAUUCGAAGCUACGCGAAGAACCUUACCAGGUCUUGACAUACUAUGCAAAUUCUAGAGAUUAGACGUUCCCUUCGGGACAUGAUACAGGUGGUGCAUGUUGUUCGUCAGCUCGUGUUCUGGAAUGUUUGGGUUAAGUCCCGCAACGAGCGCACCUUAUUUAUCAGUGGCAGGCAUAAGGUGGGCACUCUGUGAACUGCGGUGACAACCGAGAAGGUUGGAUGACGUUCAAUCCAUGCUAGACGUGGCUACACGUCUACAGUUGCAAUGUACAACCGAGUUGC
rnacentral:rRNA from 2 species